AAGCACGGCUUCGCAGCGCGCACACGGGGAGCUUGCUCUCAGAGAUGCUGCGAGGAAAGUCCCCGUGCCUUGGUGCAGAGAGUGCGAGUGGGA
rnacentral:RNase_MRP_RNA from 1 species